GAUGAACGCUGGCGGCGUGCCUAAUACAUGCAAGUCGAGCGAACAGAUAAGGAGCUUGCUCCUUUGACGUUAGCGGCGGACGGGUGAGUAACACGUGGGUAACCUACCUAUAAGACUGGGAUAACUUCGGGAAACCGGAGCUAAUACCGGAUAACAUUUGGAACCGCAUGGUUCUAAAGUGAAAGAUGGUUUUGCUAUCACUUAUAGAUGGACCCGCGCCGUAUUAGCUAGUUGGUAAGGUAACGGCUUACCAAGGCGACGAUACGUAGCCGACCUGAGAGGGUGAUCGGCCACACUGGAACUGAGACACGGUCCAGACUCCUACGGGAGGCAGCAGUAGGGAAUCUUCCGCAAUAGGCGAAAGCCUGACGGAGCAACGCCGCGUGAGUGAUGAAGGGUUGCGGCUCGUAAAACUCUGUUAUUAGGGAAGAACAAAUGUGUAAGUACUGUGCACGUCUUGACGGUACCUAAUCAGAAAGCCACGGCUAACUACGUG
rnacentral:rRNA from 1 species